rnacentral:lncRNA from 1 species
GGAAGCCUAGGCUUGUGCUCAUGUCCAGCAAAUCCAACAGGUCACUUCAUCCUGGCCCAGGUACUGCAGCUCCAAAUCGUGGGGAUUCUGUAAGAGCUUGCUACCUGUUGACUGAGGAGGCCCACGAGUUGAGCAAAAAGAAUGAUUCCUCAGCAGUCAUUGUGAAAUUUUGUGGGCCACAAGUAUUGUGCACACAUGAUCCUUGAUUUAGAGUCAACCUGAUGUCCAUUAUAGCUGUGGAAAGGCAGCAGGCAGUUGUGUCGCUCUUCACAAUAAGGAACACAUCUUGCUUUCAGCAUGUGAGAGGAACAAAAGCAUUGAUGUAAAUGUGCCUCAAAGUGAGAACUGAAAACAUUAACAUAAAAUAAAAAAGUCAAAUAAGACUAAGUUCUUACAACUACCUAUAAAAAUUGAAUUAUUACAACUAAAGCAGCAAAUCAAAACAUCUGCUGAGGUUUUCUGGUAGAACAACAACAAAAUUAGUUGGUGCCCAUGUUCAG